UGUCGAAUAGAAGAUUAGGAAGACUAGUAAUCCCUCCUAACAAUAUUUGUUUCUUUCAUUUUUCCCAUCCUUCCCUUGUAUUCUUUUCCUUUAUAUUUGUAUGCCUAUAGUCUAUUACUAGGAAUGGGAUACACGUAAUGAAUUCCAGACAUCCCACAAACAAAACAAAAAUAGUAUAAACAAAAAGGUUUACAGUAUUUUUUGAUCAUACAUAAGUAUCGAGCGACAAUAAUUUGUUGCUUUUUACCAACUUAAUGUUAAGGAAUUUCU
rnacentral:lncRNA from 1 species